UACGUAGGUGGCAAGCGUUGUCCGGAAUUAUUGGGCGUAAAGCGCGCGCAGGCGGUCUUUUAAGUCUGAUGUGAAAGCCCACGGCUCAACCGUGGAGGGUCAUUGGAAACUGGAGGACUUGAGUACAGGAGAGAAGAGUGGAAUUCCACGUGUAGCGGUGAAAUGCGUAGAGAUGUGGAGGAACACCAGUGGCGAAGGCGACUCUUUGGCCUGUAACUGACGCUGAGGCGCGAAAGCGUGGGGAGCAAACAGG
rnacentral:rRNA from 1 species